rnacentral:lncRNA from 1 species
UAAAGACAUGAUCACAAAUACCUGGAAACAACCAAUUAAUGUGUUGAAUAACUGCAUUCCGUGUACAGCCAGUAGAGUGUACACAGUAUUAUUGAAUCCUUUUCAGAUUGAGACCCAAGCAGGAUUGUACAGACUGAUCCUAUUAAUUACCAUCUGUUUGUUAUCUGGAAGUAAGAAAAAGGUGGGUUUUGUAUGUGGACUCUGGUGGAAAGUCAAGGUAUUUUAGUCCUUAUUAUCUUUUCACGCUGUACAUAGGGACUAAAAAUUCACUGCCAGAAGAUUCCUGUGAGCGAAAGGAUACAAACAUCCUCUUCCUCUACUCUCAGGGAGGACAAUAGGGUUAAAUAGUUACAUGCUAUUUUUCACACUCCCUCCAGAGUCUCAUAAAACUUGUCCUCUUCAUGCCCAAAGCAGCACAGUCUCCUAACAGCCUCAGAGGAAUUUCAGACAGAUCAUCUCUCCCCAGGGUAUCAGCAAAGUCUUAGCAGCACAGUCCAAGCUGAAGAUACCUGGGAUAUAUUGUGAUACCUCUCACCCUCCUUGAAAAGUGAAGAAGUGAAGAGGAAAAAGAAAUUAAAAGCUGGAAGAGGUUUUCACAAGGUCUCAAAAAGGGAUAGUCUUCCCUUGCUGCAUCCUCUCAUCUUGGACCAAGUCCCUGAAGGAGGAAACAUGGCCACUUUUCUCCCCACAGAUCUAAGGCAAAGUGAAAGGACUCUGGACAUUCUCAGCUCUCCUGCUGCUGAGUGGGAUCCCUCAUCUCACCAAGGAGAAUGGGGGAGCAAGGUAGGGUGGGAGCCCUGCUUCCCUGGGGCUCAGUUUUGCAGUUACCAAAGACUCACCAUGCUAAGACACAAGGGAUGGAGGGUGUCACCUCUCUCUGCCUCCUAGGUCUUUGGGGAGUUCACUUUGUAAGGAACUACAGAAAUCAUCUUUCCAGUACAAUCCAUAGGGGGCUCUUAAUCACAAAAAGCGUGUUGCAGAGGAGAAGCUGAAUGGGGCUCCAGGUAGGUUUAUGAAACUAAGCAGGAGCCAGUGAGGUGCCUGGUCAGGAUAGCAGUCUGAUGCUGAAUAAGGAGAUCAUGAGUAGGUCAACACUGCUAGCCUAACAAUCUCCCUCCUGCCUAAAGCCCAGGAAUAGUGCUACAGCUAAUUACCAUACAGAGCCUUUUGUCAAAAGCCAAAUUACCAGGAACAAUUCAUCCUCAUGGAAAAGAACUGGAGAUAAGAAAUGUCCUGCUUAAGACAGCUGGCAGGACUGCUAAAAAAACACAGAAGGCUUUUGACAAGGUAGGUUUGGGCUCACUGCCUAUCUCAUUCCAAACAACCACAAAACUGGUGCAAGCCUUUGAUGCUCUCCCAUGACGCCAUCACAAGUAGGAACAAUUGGCAACAUCUGCAAUCACUAGUGUAGACUUUUUACUUUGUAAAUGCUAGCUGCUUAAAACUCAUUGUCCAGCUGAUGUCUUCCUGAGGAAAAUGGCUGAACCCCUGGCAUGGCUGAAAAGAAGGUUUGCUUGACACCAGACAGAGGAUUGCCAGCAAGAUUCAGCCUCCUCCUUACUGACUGAAGCUAUCAGGAUUUCCUGUUCUGCUGGUUCACCACCCAUUGACCAGCUGAGUGGGUAGUGGGAAGCAGGGAAAGGCCACAGCAAAAGCUGCUUAUGAAUAGUCCUUUGUUAUCUCUUAAUUACAAACAGAAAUCUUGUCUGGAUGAAAGUCUAAUUUCUUUUUCCAACAUCAUCCUAUACCAGGUUUGCUUCUUCAUGCUAUUGUUUACAAUCUGCUGUUUUCUUUCGGUUUUUUAAGCCUGGGGAGAUUUUGUUGCUGUUUGUUCUUUUUUUUAAGCCAAACCUCUCCAACUCCAGCUGACUCAUCCCUUGUAGCAUUUUUCUUGAUCCAGGUGUAACAUCUCAUUCUUUGCUUGCUGUUGGCAGCUUUUCCAUUCUAGCAAAACUUUUCUGACU